rnacentral:rRNA from 1 species
UACGUAGGGUGCAAGCGUUAAUCGGAAUUACUGGGCGUAAAGGGUGUGUAGGCGGUUCUUUAAGUUUGGUGUGAAAUCUCCCGGCUCAACUGGGAGGGUGCGCCGAAUACUGAGGGACUAGAGUACGGGAGAGGAAAGUGGAAUUCCUGGUGUAGCGGUGAAAUGCGUAGAUAUCAGGAGGAACACCGGUGGUGUAGACGGCUUUCUGGACCGACACUGACGCUGAGACACGAAAGCGUGGGUAGCAAACAGG